rnacentral:lncRNA from 1 species
GUCCAAAUCCAUUUACCUGCAAUUGUGUUCAUCUAUAUGAAUAGUUAUGUUUCUGCAAGGCAUGAUGUCUGAUGCAAAACAGAAGAUCUGCUGCAUCUAAAAUGAAAGAUCAGGACCUUAGUGUGACUGCAGUAUGCAUUGCCUGAAUUUUCCUUUCCCUCUCCUUGGAUAAAUAAGAGUGCUUCUAGUCUAGGUUACCAUAGUUUCUGGUUUCCUUAGUAACCACCUCGAGAGCAUUCAUGUGUUUGUGUCAGUAGAAAAGGGGGUGGGGGGGCUAUAAAGUAAAAAAAAACCUCUCAAACUUGGCAUGAAAAAAAAAUCCAGUUUUUUUCCUUAAUGAACAAUCAAACCAAACCUGAAACAAAUGAAGUCUCACUGGAGAUGAACUGAAAUAAUUAUGAAUGGGAUCCUCUUCUCAGAAGUGAUUUGAGAAGAAAUUGAAGUUUUCAUAGACAGUGCAUGAAAGGAGCAUUAGCAUGGCCUUAUUCCAUACACAACAGAUUACACAUAUAUCUCUAAUAAGAUCUACAGAAACUGCCUACAGAGCCCACAGUAUGUGCUGGAGCUCAAUUGCAACAGAGACAGCUUAGCAUAUCUUCAAGCAACCUUUCCAUAAACUACAGGAUACUUAAUCAUCC